rnacentral:piRNA from 1 species
UUGUUGCUGGAGCAUUGUCUGGAAA